GAUGAACGCUGGCGGCGUGCCUAAUACAUGCAAGUCGAGCGAACAGACGAGGAGCUUGCUCCUCUGACGUUAGCGGCGGACGGGUGAGUAACACGUGGAUAACCCACCUAUAAGACUGGGAUAACUUCGGGAAACCGGAGCUAAUACCGGAUAAUAUAUUGAACCGCAUGGUUCAAUAGUGAAAGACGGUUUUGCUGUCACUUAUAGAUGGAUCCGCGCCGCAUUAGCUAGUUGGUAAGGUAACGGCUUACCAAGGCAACGAUGCGUAGCCGACCUGAGAGGGUGAUCGGCCACACUGGAACUGAGACACGGGCCAGACUCCUACGGGAGGCAGCAGUAGGGAAUCUUCCGCAAUGGGCGAAAGCCUGACGGAGCAACGCCGCGUGAGUGAUGAAGGUCUUCGGAUCGUAAAACUCUGUUAUUAGGGAAGAACAAAUGUGUAAGUAACGAUGCACGUCUUGACGGUACCUAAUCAGAAAGCCACGGCUAACUACGU
rnacentral:rRNA from 1 species